GAUGAACGCUGGCGGCGUGCCUAAUACAUGCAAGUCGAGCGAACGGACGAGAAGCUUGCUUCUCUGAUGUUAGCGGCGGACGGGUGAGUAACACGUGGAUAACCUACCUAUAAGACUGGGAUAACUUCGGGAAACCGGAGCUAAUACCGGAUGAUAUUUUGAACCGCAUGGUUCAAAAGUGAAAGACGGUCUUGCUGUCACUUAUAGAUGGAUCCGCGCUGCAUUAGCUAGUUGGUAAGGUAACGGCUUACCAAGGCAACGAUGCAUAGCCGACCUGAGAGGGUGAUCGGCCACACUGGAACUGAGACACGGUCCAGACUCCUACGGGAGGCAGUAGUAGGGAAUCUUCCGCAAUGGGCGAAAGCCUGACGGAUCAACGCCGCGUGAGUGAUGAAGGUCUUCGGAUCGUAAAACUCUGUUAUUAGGGAAGAACAUAUGUGUAAGUAACUGUGCACAUCUUGACGGUACCUAAUCAGAAAGCCACGGCUAACUACGUG
rnacentral:rRNA from 1 species